rnacentral:rRNA from 1 species
AGUAGCAGGGUGGUUUAGGCAUGCAAGUCGAACGAUCUCGCAGAGAUAGUAGGCAAAAGGGCGAGUAACACGUGAGCAAUCUGCCUCUAAGUGGGGAAUAACCUCGGGAAACCGGGGCUAAAACCGCAUAUGACCACAACUCGGCAUCGAGUUGUGAUAAAAAGUGGGGACCGCAAGGCCUACUGCUUAGAGAUGAGCUCGCGACCUAUCAGCUUGUUGGUGAGGUAAUGGCUCACCAAGGCUUUUGACGGGUAGCUGGUCUGAGAGGAUGGUCAGCCGCAUUGGGACUGAGACACUGCCCAGACUCCUACGGGAGGCUGCAGUCGAGAAUCUUUUGCAAUGCCCGCAAGGGUGACAAUGCGACGCCGCGUGUGCGAUGAAGGCCUUCGGGUCGUAAAGCACUGUCGGCCGGGAUGAAUUUCAUGUUCCUUAAUAAGGGAUCCGGAUGACAGUACCGGCAGAGGAAGCCACGGCUAACUCCGUGCCAGCAGCCCGCGGUAAUACGGAGGUGGCAGGCGUUACUCGGAUUGAUUGGGUGUAAAGGGUGCGUAGGCGGUGAUGUAAGUCGAAUGUGAAAUCCCAUAGCUUAACCAUGGAACUGCAUUCGAUACUGCGUUGCUAGAGUGAUAGAGAGGUAGAUGGAAUUCCCGGUGUAACAGUGAAAUGUGUAGAUAUCGGGAGGAACACCAGUGGCGAAGGCGAUCUACUGGCUAUCCACUGACGCUGAAGCACGAGAGCAUGGGAGCAAACAGGAUUAGAUACCUGUAGUCCAUGCCGUAAACGAUGUUCACUAGGUGUCGGGCCCUCUGGAUUCGUGCCGCAGUACACAUUAAGUGCACACUGGGAGUACGUCGCAGACUG